AAAGUCGUAACAAGGUUUCCGUAGGUGAACCUGCGGAAGGAUCAUUAACAAAUUCCAAAUCUACUACUCGUGUUUGGUGAAAGAGGAGUGCGUGCGCCCGCAUGGUAGGGGAGGAGGAGUCUUUCUCCUUUUCUGCUUGCGCGCUGGACUCCUUUUUUGUCAGUUAUAUAAGACACAAAAACACAUUUACAUUUACCAUGGACACUCAAUGGAGAACCACUUUUUAAAUGUUUUUUACAACAAAACAAGCAAACAACUUUUAACAAUGGAUCUCUUGGCUCUU
rnacentral:misc_RNA from 1 species